GACAGGGGUCUCGAGCGUUAAUCGGAAUCACUGGGCUUAAAGGGUGCGUAGGCCGCCUCGUAAGUGCUUUGUGAAAGCCCCCGGCUCAACCGGGGAACUGCAGGGCAUACUGCGAGGCUUGAGGAAACUAGAGGCCGGUAGAACGAUAGGUGGAGCGGUGGAAUGCGUAGAUAUCUAUCGGAAUGCCGAAAGGGAAGACAGCCGGCUGGGGUUUACCUGACGCUGAGGCACGAAAGCGUGGGGAGCAAACCGG
rnacentral:rRNA from 1 species